rnacentral:rRNA from 1 species
UACGUAGGGGGCAAGCGUUGUCCGGAAUCAUUGGGCGUAAAGAGCGUGUAGGCGGUCCGGUAAGUCGGCUGUGAAAGUCCAGGGCUCAACCCUGGGAUGCCGGUCGAUACUGCCGGACUAGAGUUCGGAAGAGGCGAGUGGAAUUCCCGGUGUAGCGGUGAAAUUCGUAGAUAUGGGGAGGAACACCGGUGGCGAAGGCGGCCACCUGGACGGUGACUGACGCUGAGACGCGAAAGCGUGGGGAGCAAACAGG